UACGUAGGGGGCAAGCGUUGUCCGGAAUCAUUGGGCGUAAAGAGCGCGUAGGCGGCCCUGUAAGUCCGCUGUGAAAGUCAAGGGCUCAACCCUUGGAUGCCGGUGGAUACUGCAGGGCUAGAGUCCGGAAGAGGCGAGUGGAAUUCCUGGUGUAGCGGUGAAAUGCGCAGAUAUCAGGAGGAACACCGAUGGCGAAAGCGUUCUGCUAGACCUGUACUGACACUGAGGGACGAAAGCUAGGGGAGCGAAUGGG
rnacentral:rRNA from 1 species